UGUUUGAGUCUUUUGCUCGGCCGGGCUGCCGGUGGCAGAGGCCGCUCUGCAGAAGUGAAAAAUGUAACUGAUGCAUCUCACCAGUGCUGCGUGCAGUUUGAAAGACGUCCAGGUGAAGCAGUCCUUUUGAGGCAGAAGUGCAGUCUUUGGCCAAUACCGCCUUCAGCCCGGUUUCUUCGCUGAGUGAUGGCUGCGGCGAUAGAUCUCCUGUGCUGCCUGUGCAAUUGUACAGGCUCCUAAAUAACAAACUUGCCUUGCGUGAGGACCAGUUUGAGAGUUUGUUCAGCAAAGCCAGCGCAAUGGUAUCGGGAUAUAGGCCCUCCCGCUUACCGGCCUGCACGCACAGCGAGCGUCUGGGAAAAUGCCCCCUCCGAGUCAGUACAAAUUAAG
rnacentral:lncRNA from 1 species